rnacentral:lncRNA from 1 species
GUUCGUGGCAUCCGCGCCGCGGCCGCAAGUAUAGCAGGUUUCGUACCUGGUGUUCAUCGCCGUUAAGUCAUCGCUGCUGCCACCCAGGCACGGCUCUCUAUGCCGCCGCUCCCUCCACCCUCUAGGCACUGCCUGCCGUAAGAAUUUUAACUGCGACACUCGCUUCAGCAGGAGUGACUUCAACAGAAGUGGAGUAAAUAAAGAUGAUCACAGAACUUGGAAGCUGACGAAAUUAAUUUUGGAAAAGAGCUGGCUUGGAGCAUGACAGAAGAAUUCGAUGGAAAGAGUGCUGGGAGCCCAACUCAAGACUGAUGUGUGCUUGGCAGGCAGUCUACCCCCGAUCUCAGUCCUCCAGCCUUUCGGCCUUUUUUCCUUUUUGGAGACAGAAUUGCAUCAUAUGGCAUCCUACACAGUCCUGCCUCAGUCUCUGCAGUGCUGGGAUUGUAGGCCUAUGCCACCUAGCCUUUCUACAAUACAAACAAAUAUGAAAAGAAGAGGGACUUCUUUGGAAAGGAGUACAGGGACUAUGGAAGAGAUGAAAAGAUAAUAUUGUCAGAAAUUAUGCCGCUUUUGAAGAGAUAAACUGAACUCUUGAUUCUGUGAGGUUAUUAAA